rnacentral:ribozyme from 2 species
CCACUAACUCCGCCUGUAACUCUUCUUUGGCUACUGCCGGUACCGAGCCCGGGUAAAGGAGGAGGGUUGG